rnacentral:rRNA from 1 species
ACUCCUACGGGAGGCAGCAGUAGGGAAUCUUCCACAAUGGGCGCAAGCCUGAUGGAGCAACACCGCGUGAGUGAAGAAGGGUUUCGGCUCGUAAAGCUCUGUUGUUAAAGAAGAACACGUAUGAGAGUAACUGUUCAUACGUUGACGGUAUUUAACCAGAAAGUCACGGCUAACUACGUGCCAGCAGCCGCGGUAAUACGUAGGUGGCAAGCGUUAUCCGGAUUUAUUGGGCGUAAAGAGAGUGCAGGCGGUUUUCUAAGUCUGAUGUGAAAGCCUUCGGCUUAACCGGAGAAGUGCAUCGGAAACUGGAUAACUUGAGUGCAGAAGAGGGUAGUGGAACUCCAUGUGUAGCGGUGGAAUGCGUAGAUAUAUGGAAGAACACCAGUGGCGAAGGCGGCUACCUGGUCUGCAACUGACGCUGAGACUCGAAAGCAUGGGUAGCGAACAGGAUUAGAUACCCUGGUAGGCUAGAC